GUGAAAUACAGAUCUAAGAGGAGACAGAGAGAUUCAGGGAGGAGCUAAGAUGUUCCUGAACUAUAGAAGAGAGAGGAACUUCCAUAUUCACCAGAGUUCAACACAGACCAUCAUCAUUAUCACCUUCAUUCAACAUGCUGUCAUUAGACUAUUAUUUACAUUCCCUACUGUUAGUUUCCAUUCUAAGUGGGGUCAGCUGUGAAGAUCUCACUGCAUUACAGAAAGAAGAGUUCAGACCAGAAGGCAGCUCUGUUACUCUGUCCUACAGAUACUCCAAACAAGCAGCUGGUGGUGAUAGUUUCUUCUGGUAUCGACAAUAUCCAGGAAAACCACCAGAGUUCAUCUUCUCUCAUUUAGGAACUGGAAACAUUAUGAAUAAUCUGAUCCCUGGACUGAAUAUUACAGUGGAGUCAAACCAAAUCAAUCUGAGCAUCUCCUCUGCUGCAGUGACAGACUCUGCUGUGUUCUACUGUGCUGUGAGGCCCACAGUGACAGGAAACACCAACACUCUGUACACAAACACCAGCUGACACACUGACAAGCUGCUGGAAGCCUUUUCUCCACACUGUUGUACUGAGCUGUUCACCUCCACUAGAGGGCCACAUUAUCAAGUAGGCGGUGCAUGUCU